AAUCUAUAAGCCCGUGAUCUGAAACAACCGGAAGCCCGUGAAGUCAAGUACACACAAAUCGCAUACGUCAUUCAAUGUACUUUCUCUUUUAAAUAGCAGCCGCGUUCUCGAUAUAAACAUUGUAUCUGUAAAGCUUAAGCGAGACGUUAUUGCGAUGACAUAACUUAUUGACAGAUACAGUUGCAGUUUUUGUAUAGUAAGAGAAGACGAAAAGUUCAUUCGAGGUUGGGUUUCGUCAGAAGAAAUUCUUCAGCAAGUCAUCGAAGCGCAUUCAAUACGUAAACACAGGAUGACAACGUGUUUCAGGGUCAAUAUUGCUCUUAGUAUAAAUUCAAAGAUCCGUAAAACAACAUUCUGGAGAAGCUGUUCAAUUGAAAGAGUAUUCAAUGUACCGACUGCCAUUUGAAAAAACAGACAAACAGGAAUAUCUAUGAAGAGGAUAAAGAAGAAUAAAUAAAUUUGAUCUGUGUUCUGUGCACUUGAUUCAAGAUUGGCAGUCUGAAUGGCCAAGUUUGAAAAUAAUUAUUGCAAUAUAUCUAAAGAAAUUAUUUUGUGAAAAAUGCUACCUAAUAUCUACAUGUUAGCAGGGUAACACAGUAAAGUGAGUUGUAUAUAAUGACAAUUUAAUAAUUAUUAAUAAUUGUUAAUCUUCGAUGUAUAUGUAUUAUAUCAUAUAGGUCUCUGGAGCAAUUUUUCUCUAACCUGAGCCAAAGUCUCAAGCUUUUCUAAUCAUGAUUUGUCCGUUUUCUGUCAUUGUUCUUGUUGUUGUCAUUAACUUUCCACAUUUUCAUCUUCUUACCCAGAACAACUGGGCAAGUCUAACCAAACUUGGCCCAAAUCAUCACUGGGUAAAGAGGACUAGAUGUUUUUUUUCAAAUGAAGGGUCCAUGCCCUCUUAAAAUUUGUUGGUAUUUUUCAAAAUUCUUCUCAGACACCAUUUGGCCAGAAAAGCUCAAAUAUGUGUGGAAGCAUAAUAUUUACUGUGAAAGAAAUUUCCAGAGCUUACUUCCAUGUAACACAGCUAAAGUGAAAAAGAAAUCAAUUUUUGGAGCACUUCCUCUGAUGACUGAAAAUUUAUCGGUUCAAACAAACCAUAUUAAACAUAUAUAUCUACAUAUAUGUACAUAAUUCUACCUUUCCACAAAAUUUUGUUGUUUAAGUAUCUGCAAAGUCUGAG